AUACGAAGGGUGCAAGCGUUACUCGGAAUCACUGGGCGUAAAGCGCGCGCAGGCGGUCUUUUAAGUUGGAUGUGAAAGCCUACGGCUCAACCGUAGAACUGCAUCCAAAACUAUUAGACUAGAGUGUGGGAGAGGAAGAUGGAAUUAGUUGUGUAGGGGUAAAAUCCGUAGAGAUAACUAGGAAUACCAAAAGCGAAGGCAAUCUUCUGGAACACUACUGACGCUGAGGCGCGAAAGCGUGGGGAGCAAACAGAAUUAGAAACCCCAGUAGUCC
rnacentral:rRNA from 1 species